rnacentral:rRNA from 1 species
UGCGUAGGUGGUCUUGUAAGUCAGAAGUGAAAGGCUACGGCUUAACCGUAGUAAGCUUUUGAAACUGCAGGACUUGAGUGCAGGAGAGGAAAGUGGAAUUCCUAGUGUAGCGGUGAAAUGCGUAGAUAUUAGGAGGAACACCAGUGGCGAAGGCGACUUUCUGGACUGUUACUGACACUGAGGCACGAAAGCGUGGGGAGCAAACA